GUCCACGCCCUAAACGAUGUCAACUGGGUGUUGGGGAAGCGAUUCCUUGGUACCGUAGCUAACGCGUGAAGUUGACCGCCUGGGGAGUACGGCCGCAAGGUUGAAACUCAAAGGAAUUGACGGGACCCGCACAAGCGGUGGAUGAUGUGGUUUAAUUCGAUGCAACGCGAAAAACCUUACCUACCCUUGACAUGUCUGGAAUCCUGAAGAGAUUUGGGAGUGCUCGAAAAGAGAGCCAGAACACAGGUGCUGCAUGGCCGUCGU
rnacentral:rRNA from 1 species